GACGAACGCUGGCGGCGUGCCUAAUACAUGCAAGUAGAACGCACAGUUUAUACCGUAGCUUGCUACACCAUAGACUGUGAGUUGCGAACGGGUGAGUAACGCGUAGGUAACCUGCCUGGUAGCGGGUGAUAACUAUUGGAAACGAUAGCUAAUACCGCAUAAUAUUGAUUAUUGCAUGAUAAUUAAUUGAAAGGUGCAAUUGCACCACUACCAGAUGGACCUGCGUUGUAUUAGCUAGUAUGUGAGGUAACGGCGCAACUAGGCGACGAUACAUAGCCGACCUGAGGAGGUGGUCGGCCACACUGGGAAUGAGACACGGCCCAGGCUUCCAAGGGAGGCAGCAGUAGGGGAUCUUCGGCAAUGGACGAAAGUCUGACCGAGCAACGCCGGGUGAGGGAAGAAGGUUUUCGGAUCGUAAAGCUCUGUUGUAAGAGAAGAAAGGGUGUGAGAGUGGAAAGUUCACACUGUGACGGUAUCUUACCAGAAAGGGACGGCUAACUACGUG
rnacentral:rRNA from 1 species